rnacentral:rRNA from 1 species
CAGCCGCCGCGGUAAUACGUAGGUGGCAAGCGUUGUCCGGAAUUAUUGGGCGUAAAGCGCGCGCAGGCGGAUCAGUCAGUCUGUCUUAAAAGUUCGGGGCUUAACCCCGUGAUGGGAUGGAAACUGCUGAUCUAGAGUAUCGGAGAGGAAAGUGGAAUUCCUAGUGUAGCGGUGAAAUGCGUAGAUAUUAGGAAGAACACCAGUGGCGAAGGCGACUUUCUGGACGAAAACUGACGCUGAGGCGCGAAAGCCAGGGGAGCGAACGGGAUUAGAUACCCCCGUAGUCCCUGUCUCUUAUACC